rnacentral:tRNA from 1 species
GCCUGGCUGGCUCAGUCAAAAGAGCAUGUGACUCCUGGUCUCGGCGUCUUGGGUUCGAGUCCCACGUUGGGUG